AUUCAGGUAUAUUACCCUAGAUAUGGGUCGUCUUGUUGCUGGCACAAAAUACCGUGGGGAAUUCGAAGAAAGAUUAAAGAAGUUAAAGGAAGAAACAACACAAAGUGAUGAUAUCAUUCUUUUUAUUGAUGAGGUUUACACUUUAAUUGGAGCUGGAGCAGCAGAAGUUGCUAUUGAUGCUGCUAAUAUAUUAAAAUGAGCCCUUACCAGAGGUGAAUUGCAGGUGGCAGUGUAUACACUUGAUGAAUACUGAAAACAUAUUGAAUAAUAUCCAGCAUUAGAGAGACAGUUCCAGCCAGUUAAGGUACCUGAGCCUUCUUUCUUUGUUUAUAGUUAAGUGAUAAUGUUGGUGGGUUAGGCAUGUUGGGUAAGAGGUCGAAAGCAGGGCUGGCAACUCGUGUUUGGUUUAGGUCGGUAGGUCCGUAUAACCCAAACCCACCUCCCACUUGAGUAGAUAAUGUUGUCGAAAAGGUGAACUCUAACCUGGUUAAAUGGUUUAGCUUGUGUAGCCAUUUACAAUUCGUUUGUAUGGCUAGUGUCAUUGUCAUAGUGAUAUCCUUUUGCAAUUUAUAGUUAGAUACCAAACUCAACCCAGUAGCUUGGUUUAAUAAGCAUGAAGCACUAAGCUGUUUUGGCCCCAAAAGAAAAAGAAAAAGCAAAAGCGAGAGCUAUAUCUUAUUUUUAUUGAAAUCCAAAAGAUAUGGUACCAAACUCAGCUAUAUCUUAUUUUUAUUUUCUCCCAUAUCUAUGUCAAAUCGAAAUGGAAAGGAUGAAUUUGGGCAUUUAAAAA